GAUUUCUGAAUUCAAAGUUUUUAAUCGGCUACGGUUUCGUAUGUUAGUAUUAGAAUAACUUUAUUCAUCCUUCCAUUGUUGCUGUCUCACUCUUCUUCAUUGAUGUGGUGUGGACGGUCAUGGAUCUUUUACUUUGAACAAAUUAGAGUGUUUCAAGCAGGCGUUACUUGCUAUGAAUACAUUAGCAUGGAAUAAUAAUUUAGGACUUCGGUGUCUAUUUUGUUGGUUUCUAGUACUGAAGUAAUGAUUGAUAGGGAUAGUUGGGGGUGCUAGUAUUCAGCGGCCAGAGGUGAAAUUCUUGGAUUCGCUGAAGACUAACUUAUGCGAAAGCAUU
rnacentral:rRNA from 1 species